rnacentral:tRNA from 1 species
CAGAGUAGAGCUUGAUUAGUUAAGCAAUUCACUUACACUGAAUAGAAGUCGUGCGAAUCGAUGUAUUCUGA